rnacentral:rRNA from 1 species
AGGCGACGAUCCCUAGCUGGUCUGAGAGGAUGACCAGCCACACUGGAACUGAGACACGGUCCAGACUCCUACGGGAGGCAGCAGUGGGGAAUAUUGCACAAUGGGCGCAAGCCUGAUGCAGCCAUGCCGCGUGUAUGAAGAAGGCCUUCGGGUUGUAAAGUACUUUCAGCGGGGAGGAAGGGAGUAAAGUUAAUACCUUUGCUCAUUGACGUUACCCGCAGAAGAAGCACCGGCUAACUCCGUGCCAGCAGCCGCGGUAAUACGGAGGGUGCAAGCGUUAAUCGGAAUUACUGGGCGUAAAGCGCACGCAGGCGGUUUGUUAAGUCAGAUGUGAAAUCCCCGGGCUCAACCUGGGAACUGCAUCUGAUACUGGCAAGCUUGAGUCUCGUAGAGGGGGGUAGAAUUCCAGGUGUACGCGGUGAAAUGCGUAGAGAUCUGGAGGAAUACCCGGUGGCGAAGGCGGCCCCCUGGACGAAGACUACGUCAG